GCUCCCCUCACCCCCCCACACAUACAGAACUGUCCUGAAUGCUCCCUUGGGACAAUCUCAGAUGCCAAGGUUCUAACUCAAAAGUCACGAGUGUGUUUGGAAAUCCAAAGCAGCAGGAACUGGUAAAGUGAUGGGGAGGAGUGGUCAGGCCAGAGUGAAGGCACCGUCAUCCCCAAGUCCCGCCAUGCCAAGAGCGUGGCUACCAGCCCCAGGGAUGAGUAAAACCUAAAAUUUGAGGAAGAACAGUUGGAUCCUAUUGUAACUAGGGACUAAUUAGGACACCCCAAUCCUAGGCUACCUAGUGGCCUUGGGCAGGUAUAAAAGGUGGACAGGCUCAAAGCAUACCAUACCACUUGGCACUGCCACACUUCAGAAGCUCCGGUGAACUUGGUUGCAUAUCCAGCCCAGAAUGUCUCAGCAGAAGCAGAAGCAGUGCUUCCCCCCGAUUCAGCAGUGCUGCCCCCCACCCAAGCAGUGCUGCCCCCCACCCAUCCAGUGCUGCCCCCCACCCAUCCAGUGCUGCCCUCCGCCUCAGCAGUGCUGCCCCCCACCCAUCCAGUGCUGCCCCCCACCCAUCCAGUGCUGCCCUCCGCCUCAGCAGUGCUGCCCCCCACCUCAGCAGUGCUGCCCUCCACCCAAGCAGUGCUGUCCCCCACCCAAGCAGUGCUGCCCUCCACCUCAGCAGUGCUGCCCCCCACCCAAGCAAUGCUGCCCCCCACCCAAGCAGUGCUGCCCCCCACCCAUCCAGUGCUGCCCCCCACCCAAGCAGUGCUGCCCUCCACCUCAGCAGUGCUGCCCUCCACCUCAGCAGUGCUGCCCCCCACCCAAGCAGUGCUGCCCCCCACCCAAACAGUGCUGCCCCCCACCCAAGCAGUGCUGCCCCCCACCCAAGCAGUGCUGACUCCCACCACAGCAGUGCCAGAUGUACAGGGAGAAAUAAGCCUGGACAUGUGACCAGAGGCCAAGACCCAGGAAAAGCAGAGAGUAAGAAGUCAACCCCUUCCUUCCAAAAGCCAGAUGCCAGCCACACUCACCCUCACCAGGGAGAAGGCAGCACCAGGAUGGCAGCUUCCUCCAUCUCUACCACUUAUUAACUGGCAGCUGCAAUUUCCAUAUCAGACAAGAUCUGGUCCUAAACUGUCUAAUCAUCUUUGCUGACAUGUACCUACAUCGCCCUGUCGGCUUCUUGGAAACCUGGCUAGCCUGCCCGGACACCCUCCCCUCAGACUCUACCAUCUGCUCCUGUUUUCCAAACAAUUAAAUACAAUUCCUCUGGCACUAA